GGAGUUUUUUUCACCGCCGCCGCUUUCUCCAUCGCUCCGUCCACGAUCUCAUCACUGACAGCAACUGCCAUUCACUGGUCAUCCUCAUCCACCAGUUCAGGUAUGGCUUCAGGAAUCGAAACCAUUACACACUAACAAACCAACAAACCCUAGCAACAACAUUAUCAAUCUUACUCUCACUUUGUAAACUUGUCUGUCUCUUCGAACCCUAACUUUUCUUUCAAGACGGCUUAUGUAUUUAUUUAUUUAUUCACUCCCUGUUUCAAUUUAAUUUUGAAUGAUUUUUGUCUUCAGAAAAUGCAGCGAUUAGAAUCUUCUCUGGUUAGAUUUUCAUUGUGGUGUAUAAACGGUAAAUGAUGAAAUUUGUACAUUUGAGGGCUGAUAUUUAGUCAAGUGAAAAAAAAUGAAUUACUUAUUUUACUUCUUUCUUACACAGUUUGCUUUGCUUUGCAGGCUAUAUAAUUCAUUGCAGAUAUUAGAGGAUGAAACCAUGUCCUUGUUUUCUUCUUCCUUUGUCUAUUUUGUGCUCCUGCUCUCUAUUAUCAUUCAUAGCCAUAGAGUUCACUCAUUUUCUAGAAAUAUGAGUUCUUGACACUGCAAGUGACAACUCAGAAGUAAUGAACUAAAAGCAAGUAGCAAAGUUUUGCAGGGAAAAACUCCACAAUUUCCGGAGUUGAUGGUUUAGGCAAUAGCUACAUAAAAGGGCCUCUUUUGGAGGAGUUCACUUUUCCUAAAAAAUCAGCUCCCUUCAACAGCUGCCAUGCUUCCACCAUUGUUGAGGUUGGGAAGGGUCUUUUUUGGUUGCAUAUUAUGGGGGAACAUCUGAGGGGGCGCCUGAUGUCAAAAUAUGGCUGCAAACUUACAAG